CACGUAACUGGAAUUACCAACAAACAUCACAAUCAAGUUGAUUGUUUCAAUGAUGUUUUUGAUUGGCUAGUUCAAGAGCUUGACAAUCGGUUCAGUGAGACAUCCACUAAUUUGCUUGUUUGGUCAGCGGCUUUGAGUCCAAGAGACUCAUCUCGUGAUUUUAAUUUGGAGAAUUUUAAGAGUUUGGCUAAACUAUACCCUCAAGAUUUUGAUUAUGGGGAAUUGAGGGAUCUGGAUAAGGAUAUAUGCCUCUAUAUUGCUGAUGUACACAUAUAUGAUAGUUUUUCCAACAUAGCAACAAUCACCGAGCUUUCAAAAAAAAAUGGUGCACACAGGGAGGCACAUUGUCUAUCCUUUGUUGAAACUAGUAAUUGUCUUGCCUAUUGCCACUGCUACAGUUGA
rnacentral:rRNA from 1 species